rnacentral:rRNA from 1 species
AUUGAACGCUGGCGGAAUGCUUUACACAUGCAAGUCGAACGGCAGCACGGACUUCGGUCUGGUGGCGAGUGGCGAACGGGUGAGUAAUGUAUCGGAACGUGCCCAGUCGUGGGGGAUAACGUAGUGAAAAUUACGCUAAUACCGCAUGCGGUCUAUGGAUGAAAGCGGGGGAUCGCAAGACCUCGCGCGAUUGGAGCGGCCGAUAUCAGAUUAGCUAGUUGGUGGGGUAAUGGCCUACCAAGGCGACGAUGGUUAGCGGGUCUGAGAGGAUGAUCCGCCACACUGGAACUGGAACACGGACCAGACUCCUACGGGAGGCAGCAGUGAGGAAUAUUGCGCAAUGGGGGCAACCCUGACGCAGCGACGCCGCGUGGAUGAUGAAGGCCUUCGGGUCGUAAAAUCCUGUCAGGUGGAAAGAAAUGUAUAUGUGCUAAUACCAUGUAUACUUGACGGUACCACCGAAGGAAGCACCGGCUAACUCCGUGCCAGCCGCCGCGGUAA